UUUGCAUUGCCCGACUUACCAGGCAAGGGCUGUUGUGGCUCAUCAUGGCACUGCAGGGGGCUUCUUCCCAGAAGCCCUCUGUGUGGCAGGAAAUUCAUUUAAGGCUGCCCGGAGGGCCAGAGCAGACAUCGGGCCUGCUUUUCAUUGUUGAGACAGCAGCAGCAAGGACAGCAGCAGCAGCAGACACAAGGAAAUUUCAGCAGACGUGUUGGCAGGCCUUCAUUCCAAGUAGAAACUAUCUCAUCAGGAAGCUUAAAAGGACUCUUGCUAAAAUCCAUGACUUAGCUUUGCCUCUCUCCUGCUGAAAUCACUAGGUGGAUUGCCAAUGUGAUCCAUUGAAAAUCUGUUGAAAUCCAAAGAAGAAUGGGAUUCCAGACCAGGGUGUCCUUUUUUACACAUUGUUGUUCCAUCUUGCAUAACCAGCAGCAUCUGGGGCACAUUUUUCUUAGUGACUGGGGUACAAAUGGGCUCCCCAAACAUAACUGUGACUGUCCAGUUGUCUAUUAGGGCAGAGAGGAGAUAUGAAGGGAAAGCAUUUUAAGUGUAUGUUAAAAGGGGGAAAUUGAUCUUUGAGCCUCUGUGAACAAAAAGAAACCCCUAUGUAUAUGAAAGUCACAAGUUUUGAAGAUCUGCAUGAUGUUUUCUCUAUCAAAAUGUAUUCCUUGGAAAAUCCCAACUUUUUAAUCCCACUUCCCAUUCAGUUUAAAUUAACUUAAUAUUUCCUGAAAUUAAAUUCACUUCUCUCUAUAGCUGUCUGUUUGUGAUUGUACUGUAACUAGCUAAGCUGACCACUGCCAAGAAACACAGUGUUUGCUUCCAGGAUCCAGAUUCCACAGAGAUCAAGUGAGGAAAGGAGGAAUGCUAGCAAUAAAAGACAAUGAUCCUAAGGAUUAAAUAGUGUGAUAUUGCACUUUAAUAUUAUGCACUCUACAUUAUGACUAUAGCGCUUGAAUAAUAAUUUAGAAGUUGG
rnacentral:lncRNA from 11 species